CCCACUUCCCGGUACCCCGCCAAGAGAAACGUCGGAGCCGCCCGUGUAACUCUCCGUGUCCCAGCAGGCCCGCGUUUAAGAAGUUGGAAGAAACAGAGGCACCGUUUUCAACGAUACACCUGGCGUAUUACUGUUUUGGCGCGUGAAGCCCCUCGGGGUACUUUGCGUUCUGUUUCGCUCCCUGAGACUUUGAUGUUGGUAUGUCUCGCACACACAGGGCAUGUCUCCUUUCCAAUGCCCCCGUCCCGGGUGCUCCGUGAGCGCCCGUGGCCAGUGGCCCCUGGACGGGGUGUGCGCGGCUCCAGACCCGGCCAGCAUGCCCGCCCCGCGAGGGCCUCCUGCUCGCACGUGUGCAGGCACGUGCUUUCUGCCCCAAGUCCACACCCUGUUCCACGUGAGGGGCACCUGGCGAACUCCUACUUGUCCUCGGGACCCGCUCGCCUGUCACGGCCCCUGGGAGGCCUCCUCUGGGUUCCGCAGGCGGAGCUUCCCCACCCCCAUCCAGUUGCCCCUCCCUCACCCCCUCAGUAUUUAUCGCGAGUUUCUGUAGAGCCAGGCACCCCGUGAGGGCCUGGGGGUGCAAAUGUGAGCCAGGCAUCGUCAUGUGUGUGGGAGGAAACAGACACCCCCGCCCCACUUGCCACGCUGCUCCAGACCGACGUGCCCGCUCGCCCGUUUACCAUGACCUUGACUCUGAACCCAGCGGGAAGGUACUGACUGAGUGGAAAACUGUGUCCUAGCACCGUGGACAGUUCCUGGCCCAGUGCACGGGGCUGAACUGACCUGUGUGCGCCCCAGGAAAGGACUUUGCGACAAAAUUGGCAUUAAGUAACACGCCAGCCCCUUGCAGCUGCUCCCGGGUAAACUGUCACUCGCUUUAUCAUCUACCAAACGGCAAAGGGUUUCAGCUGCGAAGCAGGCCAGCCUGACCGUCAAACUCCGGAGUCUGCUCUGAAAAUAAAUCGCAGCUGUGGGACACAUGAGCCGUGGAACACGAGGAAAUGAGAAAACACAUUUCCAUGAUCCGCUGUCAGGACCCCGAGAGACGACGGCUGCACGUUUGUUUCUCUGGGUGCCCUCUGGAAUGUCCCUCUGCAGCAAACAAACCCCCACACCCUUAGCUUCUUUGAGAAGUUCCCUGAACCCCAAGUCAGCAGACCAGCCGGACCGACCGCUUCCAGGCUGCUUGUCCCCCAGAGGGAAGGCGGACGUGCGCUCCCACAGCCCAGACGGCCUGUGGUCCGAGGCGGGUCUGCACCUCCCUCCGGCCCCAGAGGCCCCCCACAGGGCGCUCCUGGCGUACGACCCGCAGCUCCUCAGCCCCUGCGUCCGCCCUGUGCACCUGCUGCGUCUCGGUCAUCCCACCCGCGGGUGACUCUUCCUCCGUGUCGGACGCCAGCUUGUCCCCCGGCUUUCUCUUCCCUUCCAGAGCUGCCAUCAUCAGACUCGGUCCCAGCACCCCCGUGGAGGCCCUCAGCAUCCCCACUCAGGGCUCGCCCUCCUCCACGGCGGCGCCUCUCCUGGCACGAUGCUGUGGAGCGUGAGGCGUCUACAACCGCGCUGUCCAAGAUCCUGUGGUCGAGCACACGGGCCGUGCCCCCACUCUGGUCCCCGCUUCCAGUGUCGGAACCCUCAACCCCGAUCGGCUUCCGUCCCUGCGAAAGUGCUGAGCUUCCCUCCGGUGUGGAUCCGUCCUCGGCGCCAGCAGCGCCCAGGGACCCGGCAGCCAGCUCUGGCCCAGACGCCCCAGCCAGCUUCCUGCACAGCCACGGCGGAAGCUGAUGCUUUCCCGGGUUAGUGCAUGAAGGGGGACCAUCGGCGAGUGAACGGCAGGGCCCACACGUGAGGUAUCCGAUUCUAGAAGGAAGCGGCAGCCAGGAAGGAGGCGCAGCCCCGGCGCAAGUGGGUCUGGGGGAAAGGCCAGCGGUGCCCCGUUCUCUCAGCUGCAAGACAGGACCGGACCCGCCUGCGCUGACGGUAACGCGCGGCGCCGAAGAUGGACACACAGACGCCCCACUUGCUGCCCGCACGAAUGUGAGAAGCAGUCGGUGGCUCCAGGCGGCAGCUCUGUGAGCCCCAAGAUGAGGGCGGCGCCCCGGACUGGAGAGCCACAGGGAGGGAGGCUCCCCUGCAGCUGGCCCAGCCCUGGCCUCCGGCUCCUCUGAGUGAAUAGAACAUUCUGGAAGGUUUUUGCCUGUGUCAGGUGAAAAGGUUGAAG